rnacentral:rRNA from 1 species
UAUGGUUUAUACUCGUAAUGAUCCCUCCGUAGGUGAACCUGCGGAGGGAUCAUUACCGAGUUAUACAACUCAUCAACCCUGUGAACAUACCGUAUAACGUUGCCUCGGCGGGAACAGACGGCCCCGUAACACGGGCCGCCCCCGCCAGAGGACCCCCUAACUCUGUUUCUAUAAUGUUUCUUCUGAGUAAACAAGCAAAUAAAUUAAAACUUUCAACAACGGAUCUCUUGGCUCUGGCAUCGAUGAAGAACGCAGCGAAAUGCGAUAAGUAAUGUGAAUUGCAGAAUUCAGUGAAUCAUCGAAUCUUUGAACGCACAUUGCGCCCGCCAGUAUUCUGGCGGGCAUGCCUGUUCGAGCGUCAUUACAACCCUCAGGCCCCCGGGCCUGGCGUUGGGGAUCGGCGGAAGCCCCCUGCGGGCACAACGCCGUCCCCCAAAUACAGUGGCGGUCCCGCCGCAGCUUCCAUUGCGUAGUAGCUAACACCUCGCAACUGGAGAGCGGCGCGGCCACGCCGUAAAACACCCAACUUCCUGAACUGGCUGAAACAUCG